CAGUCGCCGCGGGAAUACGAAGGGGGCUAGCGUUGUUCGGAAUUACUGGGCGUAAAGCGCACGUAGGCGGAUAUUUAAGUCAGGGGUGAAAUCCCGCAGCUCAACUGCGGAACUGCCUUUGAUACUGGGUAUCUUGAGUAUGGAAGAGGUUAGUGGAAUUGCGAGUGUAGAGGUGAAAUUCGUAGAUAUUCGCAGGAACACCAGUGGCGAAGGCGGCCAUCUGGGACAACACUGACGCUGAGGCACGAAAGCGUGGGGAGCAAACAGGAUUAGAUACCCCUGUAGUCCCUGUCUCUUAUAC
rnacentral:rRNA from 1 species